UCCAUAAUUUGCCACCUGUCCAUUUCAAGGAUAUUUGUAGUCCAAAAAUUAAGUACCUGAACUAAUGUAGCAUUGANNNNNNNNNNNNNNNNNNNNNNNNNNNNNNNNNNNNNUUCAAGCCAACCAAGCCAAAUUUCUAUAUUGUGAGAGUAAAGGUAACUUUUCAUCAAGCCCCAUGCAAAAAAGUAACCAAACCAGUUUCAAUUGAAAAGUAACACAUGUGACUUAUCCAAUCAAACUUUUUAAAUAUCACACACUUUCCCUCUUAUUGUGGAUCAAGAAUCGAUUUGUGCCGAUAAUCUCUUCUGUUUGCUACGGUAAUUUCUUUCCACAUAUUUGCAUUUUGAUUCGAUUAUUAAACGACAACAUUCAAUCUUCUGCUUUAUCAAAUCAAACCCCUUUUUUCUGCUUUUGAUGAAAAUUAGGGCAUAAACCCUAAAUCAAGAACAUUCAAUCUUCUGUUUUAUAACUUUACCCAUUUUUCUCAUUCUUGAUCAUUCAAGAACAUUCAAUCCUCUGCAUCAGAAAAACAAAAACAACCCUUAAUCGUGCAAAAAUCUAUUCUGUGCCAAGAUCAUGUUUACGAUUGAUAGAUAGAUACUUGUUGUGAUACCCAUUUUUUAAUUCUUGUUAUUUCAAGAACAUUCAAUUUCUGCUUGAAAACACGAAAUUUUAAUUGAGGAAACGUGUUUUGUCCCAACAAAUUUCAAUCUUCUGCUUAUUGGAAGCUUAUUGGAAACUUCAUUCCAACGUAUUUGCCCCGUUUGGUUUAUAAUUAAUACCUAUUGGUAAUGAUGAUGAUGGGUUGUCG
rnacentral:lncRNA from 1 species